rnacentral:rRNA from 1 species
CGAGUGCGCGUGCUAUACAUGCAGUCGAUCGGUACAGAUGGGAGCUUGCUCCCUGAUGUCAGCGGCGGACGGGUGAGUACACGUGGGUAACCUGCCUGUAAGACUGGGAUAACUCCGGGAAACCGGGGCUAAUACCGGAUGCUUGAUUGAACCGCAUGGUUCAAUUAUAAAAGGUGGCUUCUACUUACCCUUUCCAAAUGGCCCCCCGCCCCUUAACUUAUUGGGGAAGGAACCGGUCCCCCAAGGCACCAAGCCUAACCCAACCUAAAAGGGGAUCCGCCCCCCCGGGACCGAAACCCCGGCCCAAAUCCCUCCGGAAGGAACCAUUAGGAAACUUUCCCAAUGGAACAAAAUC